GCCUGGGUGGCUCAGUCGGUUAAGCAUCCGACUUUGGCUCAGGUCAUGAUCUCGCGGUCUGUGGGUUCGAGCCCCGCGUCAGGCU
rnacentral:tRNA from 1 species